GACGAACGCUGGCGGCGUGCUUAACACAUGCAAGUCGAACGAAGUGGCGAACGGGUGAGUAACGCGUAAUCAACCUGCCCUUCAGAGGGGGACAACAGUUGGAAACGACUGCUAAUACCGCAUACUGAAGGAGGGGAUUGCGUCUGAUUAGCUAGUUGGAGGGGUAACGGCCCACCAAGGCGAUGAUCAGUAGCCGGUUGGAGAGGAUGAACGUCAACAUUGGGACUGAGACACGGCCCAGACUCCGACGGGAGGCAGCAGUAGGGAAUCUUCGUCAAUGGACGAAAGUCUGACCGAGCAACGCCGCGUGAGUGAAGAAGGUUUGCGGAUCGUAAAACUCUGUUGUUAGAGAAGCGGUAUCUAACCAGAAAGCCACGGCUAACUACGUGCCAGCAGCCGCGGUAAUUC
rnacentral:rRNA from 1 species